rnacentral:rRNA from 1 species
UGACGAGCGGCGGACGGGUGAGUAAUGCUUGGGAACAUGCCUUGAGGUGGGGGACAACCAUUGGAAACGAUGGCUAAUACCGCAUGAUGUCUACGGACCAAAGGGGGCUUCGGCUCUCGCCUUUAGAUUGGCCCAAGUGGGAUUAGCUAGUUGGUGAGGUAACGGCUCACCAAGGCGACGAUCCCUAGCUGGUUUGAGAGGAUGAUCAGCCACACUGGAACUGAGACACGGUCCAGACUCCUACGGGAGGCAGCAGUGGGGAAUAUUGCACAAUGGGCGCAAGCCUGAUGCAGCCAUGCCGCGUGUGUGAAGAAGGCCUUCGGGUUGUAAAGCACUUUCAGUAAGGAGGAAAGGUUAGUAGUUAAUACCUGCUAGCUGUGACGUUACUUACAGAAGAAGCACCGGCUAACUCCGUGCCAGCAGCCGCGGUAAUACGGAGGGUGCGAGCGUUAAUCGGAAUUACUGGGCGUAAAGCGUACGCAGGCGGUUUGUUAAGCGAGAUGUGAAAGCCCCGGGCUUAACCUGGGAACUGCAUUUCGAACUGGCAAACUAGAGUGUGAUAGAGGGUGGUAGAAUUUCAGGUGUAGCGGUGAA